AGUGUGUUGUGCCGUGUCUUUUUUGGAGUCGCCGUCGCCGGCAAAACGCAAUCCACACGCGGAGAAAGAGAAUCGGAGAGACACGAGAUAGAGAGAGAGAGCGAGAGAGGGAGUCGUCUUACGUCAGACGGAGAAAACUCUUGUACUCUUUUCAGUUAGCUUUUCUAUUUUUUUUCGGAUUUUUCCGUCGAUUUUCCCCUCGUAACGUGUUUUCUGCUCGCACAUGUGUGUGGGGGCGGCAGCGGCAACAGCAGCGUCACGACGCGACAACAACACUGAACGCGGCGAAUCGACAGAACAAGCAACGAGCCACAAAACGCACGGCGUCUCUUGUAGCGGCGAAUUUGAGGCGUCAGCAGCUGAGCGCUCGCGGCACGAGAGAGUGAGAGCAGAAGAGAGUGGAUCGUAAAUUGAGUGGAGACAAAACUGAUCAAACGAUAGCUAUUCGAUAUUACGAUAGGUUGUCAAUUCAAAAGGGAACGAAUAUUUUGGGUUAUUAAUAUUUUGCAAUGAAUAAAUACAUUUGAGUGUU
ensembl:ncRNA asRNA:CR46055 antisense RNA:CR46055